AUUCCAGCUCCAAUAGCGUAUAUUAAAGUUGUUGCAGUUAAAAAGCUCGUAGUUGGAUUUCUGAUUGAGACAUCAGGUCGGGUCCGAGAGGAUCAUGUACUUUGAUUUGUUUUGAUCAUCCUUGGGGAGAGCAAUUCUGGCAUUAAGUUGUCGGGGUUGGGAUCCUCAUCGUUUACUGUGAAAAAAUUAGAGUGUUCAAAGCAGGCCUCGGCCUCUGAAUACAUUAGCAUGGAAUAAUAAGAUAGGACUUUGGUGGUCUAUUUUGUUGGUUUGCACGCCAAAGUAAUGAUUAAUAGGGAUAGUUGGGGGUAUUCGUAUUCAAUUGUCAGAGGUGAAAUUCUUGGAUUUAUGGAAGACGAACUACUGCGAAAGCAUUUACCAAGGAUGUUUUCAUCA
rnacentral:rRNA from 1 species